UACGGAAGGCAGCAGUGGGGAAUAUUGCACAAUGGGCGCAAGCCUGAUGCAGCCAUGCCGCGUGUAUGAAGAAGGCCUUCGGGUUGUAAAGUACUUUCAGCGGGGAGGAAGGCGAUGUGGUUAAUAACCGCGUCGAUUGACGUUACCCGCAGAAGAAGCACCGGCUAACUCCGUGCCAGCAGCCGCGGUAAUACGGAGGGUGCAAGCGUUAAUCGGAAUUACUGGGCGUAAAGCGCACGCAGGCGGUCUGUUAAGUCAGAUGUGAAAUCCCCGGGCUUAACCUGGGAACUGCAUUUUGAAACUGGCAGGCUUGAGUCUCGUAGAGGGGGUAGAAUUCCAGGUGUAGCGGUGAAAUGCGUAGAGAUCUGGAGGAAUACCGGGUGGCGAAGGCGGCCCCUGGGACGAAGACUGACGCUCAGGUGCGAAAGCGUGGGGAGCAAACAGGAUUAGAUACC
rnacentral:rRNA from 1 species